rnacentral:lncRNA from 1 species
AUUUUGCUCGUAACUUUACUUUGACUUUUCGUAACGUUAAUCCGAGCGCACCCACGCGUCGGAAACACCCCCAAUUAGGUUUUUGGAGGGUCAAUUGCACUUAGAAACCCUCAUGAGCAAAAGCCCCAAUUUGGUGCCCUAGCUCCAACACAUGUAUCAAACCUAGGGUUUGAUCUCAAAGAGAAGCAAAAGUAGCUUCAUUACACUCUACUUAGUCCAUUAGAACCAUUCUUAGGCUUUCCAAAACCCUAGAUUAGAUUUCACCAUUAGAGGUGGUCCAAGCUUACCUCUAUAGCAAAUCUAGAUUUUGAUCUCUAAAGAAGCAAAAAGAAAGCUUCAAAUACUCUAAAAACUCCAUAAAAACCAAUUUUAGGUUUAUCCAAACCCUAGUUUGGGAGUAAUCAUGAAAAGGGGAAAAGCCUACCUCAAAGCUUGCCCUAACUUGCACUAGAGAGGAAGAAGAUGCAGCUCCUUUAGCUCCUUGAUCUUCUUCCUCACUUUCUUCUCCUUCUUCUCCUUCUUUUCUUCCUUUCUUCUUCUUCUCCUUCUUUGUCUUCUAGAGAGAGAAAGAGAGGAGAGAGUGUGAGAGGGAGUGGAAUGAGAGGAAAAA